AACGAACGCUGGCGGCAGGCUUAACACAUGCAAGUCGAACGCUGUAGCAAUACAGAGUGGCAGACGGGUGAGUAACGCGUGGGAACGUGCCCUUCGGUUCGGAAUAACUCAGGGAAACUUGAGCUAAUACCGGAUACGUGCGAGAGCAGAAAGAUUUAUCGCCGAAGGAUCGGCCCGCGUCCGAUUAGCUAGUUGGUGAGGUAAUGGCUCACCAAGGCGACGAUCGGUAGCUGGUCUGAGAGGAUGAUCAGCCACAUUGGGACUGAGACACGGCCCAAACUCCUACGGGAGGCAGCAGUGGGGAAUAUUGGACAAUGGGCGCAAGCCUGAUCCAGCCAUGCCGCGUGAGUGAUGAAGGCCUUAGGGUUGUAAAGCUCUUUCGCCAGGGAC
rnacentral:rRNA from 1 species